GCAGCCAUAGUUCAGUUGGUUAGAACGUCGGAUUGUGGAUCCGAAGGUCCCUGGUUCGAGUCCAGGUGGCUGUACCA
rnacentral:tRNA from 1 species